GGUUAACCGUAUAGGGGAGCCGCAGGGAAACCGAGUCUUAACUGGGCGUUAAGUUGCAGGGUAUAGACCCGAAACCCGGUGAUCUAGCCAUGGGCAGGUUGAAGGUUGGGUAACACUAACUGGAGGACCGAACCGACUAAUGUUGAAAAAUUAGCGGAUGACUUGUGGCUGGGGGUGAAAGGCCAAUCAAACCGGGAGAUAGCUGGUUCUCCCCGAAAGCUAUUUAGGUAGCGCCUCGUGAACUCAUCUUCGGGGGUAGAGCACUGUUUCGGCUAGGGGGUCAUCCCGACUUACCAACCCGAUGCAAACUACGAAUACCGAAGAAUGUUAUCACGGGAGACACACGGCGGGUGCUAACGUCCGUCGUGAAGAGGGAAACAACCCAGACCGCCAGCUAAGGUCCCAAAGUCAUGGUUAAGUGGGAAACGAUGUGGGAAGGCACAGACAGCCAGGAUGUUGGCUUAGAAGCAGCCAUCAUUUAAAGAAAGCGUAAUAGCUCACUGGUCGAGUCGGCCUGCGCGGAAGAUGUAACGGGGCUAAACCAUGCACCGAAGCUGCGGCAGCGACGCUUAUGCGUUGUUGGGUAGGGGAGCGUUCUGUAAGCCUGCGAAGGUGACCUGUGAGGGUUGCUGGAGGUAUCAGAAGUGCGAAUGCUGACAUAAGUAACGAUAAAGCGGGUGAAAAGCCCGCUCGCCGGAAGACCAAGGGUUCCUGUCCAACGUUAAUCGGGGCAGGGUGAGUCGACCCCUAAGGCGAGGCCGAAAGGCGUAGUCGAUGGGAAACAGGUUAAUAUUCCUGUACUUGGUGUUACUGCGAAGGGGGGACGGAGAAGGCUAUGUUAGCCGGGCGACGGUUGUCCCGGUUUAAGCAUGUAGGCUGGUUAUCCAGGCAAAUCCGGAUAAUCAAGGCUGAGGUGUGAUGACGAGGCACUACGGUGCUGAAGUAACAAAUGCCCUGCUUCCAGGAAAAGCCUCUAAGCAUCAGGUAACACGAAAUCGUACCCCAAACCGACACAGGUGGUCAGGUAGAGAAUACCAAGGCGCUUGAGAGAACUCGGGUGAAGGAACUAGGCAAAAUGGUGCCGUAACUUCGGGAGAAGGCACGCUGGUGUGUAGGUGAAGUCCCUGCGGAUGGAGCUGAGACCAGUCGAAGAUACCAGCUGGCUGCAACUGUUUAUUAAAAACACAGCACUGUGCAAACACGAAAGUGGACGUAUACGGUGUGACGCCUGCCCGGUGCCGGAAGGUUAAUUGAUGGGGUUAUCCGUAAGGAGAAGCUCUUGAUCGAAGCCCCGGUAAACGGCGGCCGUAACUAUAACGGUCCUAAGGUAGCGAAAUUCCUUGUCGGGUAAGUUCCGACCUGCACGAAUGGCGUAAUGAUGGCCAGGCUGUCUCCACCCGAGACUCAGUGAAAUUGAACUCGCUGUGAAGAUGCAGUGUACCCGCGGCAAGACGGAAAGACCCCGUGAACCUUUACUAUAGCUUGACACUGAACAUUGAGCCUUGAUGUGUAGGAUAGGUGGGAGGCUUUGAAGCGUGGACGCCAGUCUGCGUGGAGCCAACCUUGAAAUACCACCCUUUAAUGUUUGAUGUUCUAACGUUGGCCCCUUAUCGGGGUUGCGGACAGUGUCUGGUGGGUAGUUUGACUGGGGCGGUCUCCUCCCAAAGCGUAACGGAGGAGCACGAAGGUUAGCUAAUCCUGGUCGGACAUCAGGAGGUUAGUGCAAUGGCAUAAGCUAGCUUGACUGCGAGCGUGACGGCGCGAGCAGGUGCGAAAGCAGGUCAUAGUGAUCCGGUGGUUCUGAAUGGAAGGGCCAUCGCUCAACGGAUAAAAGGUACUCCGGGGAUAACAGGCUGAUACCGCCCAAGAGUUCAUAUCGACGGCGGUGUUUGGCACCUCGAUGUCGGCUCAUCACAUCCUGGGGCUGAAGUAGGUCCCAAGGGUAUGGCUGUUCGCCAUUUAAAGUGGUACGCGAGCUGGGUUUAGAACGUCGUGAGACAGUUCGGUCCCUAUCUGCCGUGGGCGCUGGAGAAUUGAGGGGGGCUGCUCCUAGUACGAGAGGACCGGAGUGGACGCAUCACUGGUGUUCGGGUUGUCAUGCCAAUGGCACUGCCCGGUAGCUAAAUGCGGAAGAGAUAAGUGCUGAAAGCAUCUAAGCACGAAACUUGCCCCGAGAUGAGUUCUCCCUGAGACUUUAAGUCUCCUGAAGGAACGUUGAAGACGACGACGUUGAUAGGCCGGGUGUGUAAGCGCAGCGAUGCGUUGAGCUAACCGGUACUAAUGAACCGUGAGGCUUAACCUUACAACGCCGAAG
rnacentral:rRNA from 1 species